rnacentral:rRNA from 1 species
CAGUCGCCGCGGUAAAACGUAGGUGGCAAGCGUUGUCCGGAAUUAUUGGGCGUAAGGGGUUCGCAGGCGGUUUCUUAAGUCUGAUGUGAAAGCCCCCGGCUCAACCGGGGAGGGUCAUUGGAAACUGGGAAACUUGAGUGCAGAAGAGGAGAGUGGAAUUCCACGUGUAGCGGUGAAAUGCGUAGAGAUGUGGAGGAACACCAGUGGCGAAGGCGACUCUCUGGUCUGUAACUGACGCUGAGGAGCGAAAGCGUGGGGAGCGAACAGGAUUAGAUACCCCUGUAGUCCCUGUCUCUUAUAA